rnacentral:rRNA from 1 species
UCCGUAGGUGGAUAAUUAAGUCAGAGGUGAAAUCCUGCAGCUCAACUGUAGAAUUGCCUUUGAUACUGGUUAUCUUGAGUCAUUAUGAAGUGGUUAGAAUGUGUAGUGUAGCGGUGAAAUGCAUAGAUAUUACAUAGAAUACCAAUUGCGAAGGCAGAUCACUAACAAUAUAUUGACACUGAUGGACGAAAGCGUGGGGAGCGAACCGGAUUAGAUACCCGAGUAGUCC